UGAUGCGAUGCUAGAAGUAAAAUAGAUGAUAUUACUAGGGUAUCAUCCCACAAAUGCAUACAAGUAGUACAAUCCAAGAACUAAAUUGUAGAAAAACAUUAACAUAAAACAGCAUACAAGUAGUACAAUCCAAGAACUAAAUUGUAGAAAAACAUUAGAGGAAAUAAAUUGUUCAUUUUAAACAUAAAACAGCAUACAAGUAGUACAAUCCAAGAACUAAAUUGUAGAAAAACAUUAGAGGAAAUAAAACAGCAGAGAUCCAAUACAAGAAGAAGACAUGAUCCAUGAACUUGUGUGACUUUCAUGACUUUAACCAAACCAAUUAGAGGUUAACAAUGGUGGGCUUAAAGUCAAGUUAAGACUUACUUUUCUAAAGCACAAGCCUUUAUGAAAAAAAAUGUGUUAACAUGAAAAUAAGGUUUUUGCAAAUUCAAGUUGGGGACAUGGUCCUUGUCAAGCUUUUAACCUGGGUGACGACAAUAUCCUUCCCUGCACCGAAAUCAAAAGCUAAGGGCUAAUUUCAUUUAGUUUUGUAAUAUUGCCUUUAGUUUUUAAAAUUGAAAAAUAAUAAAAUUUGUUUAAUAACUUAAUUUUUUAUAAAAUUAUUAAAAAAUUAUUCUCUAUUUAUGAAUUUUGAAAACUAAAAAAAUUAGAAUAGGUUUUAGAUAUUUUGUUUUUUAGUUUUAAAAAUUGAUAAGAAAAAAACAAGAAAAAAUAAUAUACUUUUUAUUAAUGAUAAAUUUGUAAUAUUAUACAAUUUUAAAAUAAUUUUUAAAAGUAAGAUUAUUUCAAAAUAGAAGAUAGUUUUUAAAAAUAAUUUUAGAAAAAUAGAUCUCAUUUUCACUUUUCACUUUAAUAAAAGAAAGAAAGCCUCAAUCAGAACCACUUUAAUAGCUAAGUGUCUGACUUUAUUUGUCAUGGUUCCACACUAUUGUGGCUAACAAAUGAAGGCUAUCUUUAUUUAACAUUAAUCUAACCAAAGAUUUUAAUGGCUUCAUCUUAGUGAAGAUGCAAUUGUUUACAAGUCCUUUCUUGAAUAAAUUUGAAACCUGAAAGUAGAGGCUUUGCCAUGAACAUCGAAAGCUAAAAGCAUGUGUCAAGAACAACUAGUAAAACGAAUGAGCUUUAUAUAAUCAAGCUUGCUAUUAAGAAACCAAAUGUGAUUUUAGGACAAGUAUGCUUGAGAGCCAUUGCCAAGAAACUAAUGAGGUUUGGAUCAGAAAAGGAUGAAGACAUUUAUAUGUCCAAUGACAGUACGAGUAAUGAUGAUCUAAAGAUACAAAAUAAACAAACUGCAAAGACAUGAAGGAAGAAUAAAAGAUACAAAAUCAUUUCCUGAUGAGUCUAUAUACAAAUCUAUACAUCACAAUUUCAAGUGUCCCCUCCAGAAGGAGAUUUCAUGUCCUGAUCAUUUGAAGUACUAGUUGUUGCUGAUGUCGGAUUUCUUAUGUUUCCAUCUCCCACUGAUGGAGUUGUUGGCAAAAUUUCAGACGUACAAGCUUCUUCUUUGAUGGAGUUGUUGGGAUCAAUGUUGGCCCCAAUCAUCUGAUCAACCAAAACAGAAAGGUUGAGAUUUAUGCAGUCUCGCGUGAAUUUCCAUCAAUAAAUAAUCGAAAUAGGAUAUGCUUACUUGAAGAGGGAUGGCUGCUAUGGGAAUCUUUUCCUCAUUUCGAGCAAUCUCUGCAAUUCUUGCACCUGUUUUCUUAGCAGUGUUUGUGUUGAAUAAGGCCGCAGUAAUCUAAUUGAACAAAAAGAUGAAGAUUGUUACUCGCUUAAAUAAAACGAAUGAGUGCAGUCAUUUUGAAUAUGAUCUGCUUACUUUAACACGCUUGGCCACUAUGAGAGAAUUGACAGAAGCAUUUCCAAACGGUUUUCCCUUAUCAUCUAUGCAUGUAACCAUACAUGUUGCCUUUGCACGACAGUGACGACCAGCACCAUCAACCAGACUUUUUAUCGACAUUAAAUGUAUCUCAAAUUCUCCCUACAUGCAUAUAGGAAAUUCGAAUAAACGGCACGCACACGCACACACACAACACAAAUCAAAAGAUAUGAUUUAACCUUGAUGUGGAUGGGACCGUCUGGAGUAAGACUCACAAUGUCUGAUACAGAACCCGAUGCAGAAAGUAUGAUAACAGUUUUACGACGAUUUUCCACAGAUAUAUUGUAUAGAACCUCUACCACGUCCUGCAAAUCAUAUGUUCAGUAAAUGUAAUACAAAAUUGCAUCUGAAAUGUUAACAUUAGUCAGUUCAUGUAAUACCUGGCGAGCAUUCAACUCAAUCACAUGAGGGGUGAGUUUUCCACCAGGGGUUGAGUCUAUCUUGUGGAGUUUCUGCAGAAGUUGUUUCUGAAGUUGUUAGAGAAGGUCCUCUUUUCUAUUCUUUGAACCAGGAGGGCGUCCUCUUCCCUCUUGGUUGGAGUUUAAGAAGAAGUUGUUAGAGAGGUCCUCUUUUCUCUCUUGGUGUUGGGUUGGGAGAAGAAUCCAUGGCAAUGCAAUGGCAAUGGCCUGGAAAUGUGGAAGAAUUAUUCAUUGCUGAUCACCACCUAACAAUUUUCUUUUCUUGGAAGAACUUCAGUUUCAGUUUCAGAAGUUCUUCUUUUGAUGUGAAGUUGAUUCAAGAAUGAAGAAUAAUGCAAUUGCGCAGUCUAUCAUCACCAUCUUCUUCUUGAUGAUCGUAGUGGAAGUACCGAUCAUCUCGCUGCUUCCUCCUUCUUAUCACCUUUUCCAUUUUUGUGUCACAAGAACAAUCAGUUUAUGGAUUGUGAACUGAGAGAGAGAGAUUGUUUGAUUUACAUGUACACACGGAAAUAUUAUUUAUAGUAUGAAUGAAGAGCUUCAACUAAAUAAGAAGGAAAUGUAAGCUAAGGUUUUUAACUGCUUCUAACUAAUCAACCGUCAUAAUAGAAAACUAAGUAGGAAAUGUAACUGAUUUGUUGGAUUUAUUUAUAAAACUUGAGGUGGAUAAAGUUGCUCUCUUGUGGGAUUUGUGCUAAUAAUCUUGAAUCAAGAUUCUUGAUGAUCCUAAUGUUGAUUCAUUUCACAUUACUAGAGCAAAUAUUUCAUAUUCUCUUCUACAUAUAUAAAUGACAUUCCAUUAAUUCUUAUAAAUCCAAUAUUCCAUUAAUUCUUAGGUGAUGUGAGACUAAACGACUCACAUUUACACUCAACAAUCUUCCAAGUAGGAGUUUCCGCAUCCUAUAACAGGAUCGAACCCACCUGGUUAGCUAAUGUGGUGAUGGUAAAGAAGGCCUCUAGGAAAUGAAAAAUGGGCAAUCCAGUUUAUAAUGACGGACUUUUAUUCAAUUAAAAGGAGUUGGCGUCGAAAUUAUAUUUGAGGGACCUAGAAAGAUAUUUUUAGAAAAAUAAUUGGGUUUUAACUACAAGUAUAGUAACAACCAAGUGAAUUAUAAAACUUUAAUCCAACGAAUGAAAUUGGUCCAAGAUGUAGAUGCAACUUAUGUUCGGGUAGGGAGUGACUCUCAAAUAGUCACUAACCAGAUUAAGGGAUAUUAUAAAACCGAACAACCUAUGUUAUCAAAAUAUUUAAAGGUCCUAGACAUGGCAAAAUAAUUCUAGUAUUUCACAUAAUCAGUUUAGAAAUGUCAUGCUGGAAGACAAGCUCUAUAGAAUGGAGCGAUCCAUGUCUGUGUUGAAAAGAUUGGAAGAAUAAGACGUGGAUUUAGUAUUGGAGGGAGAGCAUUGGCAAGCAAGCUUAUAAGAUUCAGAUACUAUUGGCUGGGGAUGCUUAGACAUAGUUCCAAGUUUGUCAGUCGAUGCGAAAAAUGUCAAAGAUUCUAAAAUUUCAUCCACGCCCCCGCCAAGAUAUUGCAAUCAGUGACUUCACUGGCAUUUCUAUUAGUGAAGGGUAGACAUACUCGAGCACUUCCCAUCGGCCCCUAGACAAUUAAAAUUCCUAUUAGUUGUGGUCGAUUACUUCACCAAAUAGAUUGAGGGCGGAGAAAUGUCCAAGAUAACCGCAAAAUGGAUGUGUCAUUUUUAUUGACGAAAUAUUAUUUGUAAGUUUAAGUUACUAAAGAUCAUUGUCUUUGACAACGGGACACAAUUUUAUUGCUCUUUUAUGAUCAACUUCUAUAAAAAUAUAGAUAUCUAGACGAGGUUUAUCUCGAUCAAGCACCCUUAAGAGAAUAGUCUGGUGGAGUCAGCCAAAAGAUCACACUCACCAGAAUGAGAAAAAAUAUUGACGAACCUAAAGGAUUUUUUGACUGAGCAACUUCAUGAGGUACUAUGGUAUUACCUAUUAAACUGAUAUAAAACUUUCAUAUUAUUUCAAUCGUAUAUUACAAGGAAGGAAUAUGUUAUAUUUAUAUACACAAAAAACCUAUUUCUAAUUAUAACUAAAUCAGAAUAAUUAUAGCCAAAUCAUGGUAAUUAACAAUUAAUAACUAUAUUCCUAUUAUAGUUCCUAAAAUCUUGUUGACAGCUAACACCAACACUCCCCCUCAAGUUGGUGCAUAAUAGAAAACUAAGUAGGAAAUGUAAUUGAUUUGUUGGAUUUAUUUAUAAAACUUGAGGUGGUUAAAGUUGCUCUCUUGUGGGAUUUGUGCUAAUAAUCUUGAAUCAAGAUUCUUGAUGAUGUGUUGAAUUGUAAUUCCUUGUGGACAAAGAAAACUCUGCAGAAUUUUAUUACUCUUUUCCUUCAUCGUUCUUUACUUUCUUUCUUUCUCAAUUGUUCUUCUCUUUUUAUUGCUAUUGAGUUGGUGAUAACAAUCUCGUUCAUCAAGAUUGAUUGAAAUUCUUCAUAGUUGUGGGGAAUUUCCAACAUCUGGUAUCAAGAGCUCUAGUUUAAUCGAUUUUUAGGAAGAAAAUCACCAUGGCAACGAAUAAUCGAAACUGGUGAAUCAAAUCAAGGUAUGUGGAGAAGUGUUUACAUCAAGAUCUGUUGUUGCAAAGAUCUUGAGGUCGUUGGAUCCAAAGCUCGACCACGUGGUAAUAGCCAUAGAAGAGGCGAAAGAUUUGUCAAAAUUGACAAAGGAAGAUCUUCAAGGGACGCUUGAAUCUCAUAAACAAAGAAUGGCUAAAAGAUUUGCAGGAAAGUCAAAGAGUGAUAUGGAUUUGCAUGCUCAAUCAGCAAAAGAAAGAAAUGGCAAAGGAAGUUGGAACGACAACAAAGACAGAGAAGGUUACAACAAUUCGACUGGUCGAAAUCAGCAAGAAGGAAACUGGUUGAAUAAGAGAAAACCCUAGAACCAAGGAAACCAAGGAGGUGGUGUUGCAGGUAGAUGAAGAGGUGGUGGUCAAAAGUCAGACAAGAGACACAUUCAGUGUUACAAUUGUCAAAGGUAUGGUCACUAUUCUAGUGAUUCUCCAGAAAAGCAGAAGAAUCAAGAAACUUAUACAAAGCUGGUGAAACAUGAAGAAGAAGAAGAUACGUUGUUGAUGGUUACAACAAGAGAUGAAGAGAGAUUCAAGGAUCAGUGGUACUUGGACUCAGGAUGCUUAUCACAAAUGUCUAGAAGAAAAGAUUGGUUUGUCAACAUAAAGCACUCAAUGAAGAACAUGGUGAAAUUUGCAAAUGACAACACUCUAGCAGCUAAAGGUGUUGGUGAUGUUCUGAUUAUGAGGAAAGAUGGCAAGAGGUCAGUAAUUUCAAAUAUGUUUUACAUACCAGGCAUGAAGAGUAAUUUUCUCAGCAUAGGACAAUUAGUCGAAAAGAACUACAGAGUGUCGAUCGAAGACAAGAUGAUGAGAGUUCUCGACUCAAAUGGAAGGUUGAUCUUGAAGGCUCCAAUGUCUCAGAAUAGAACCUUCAAGAUUGAGCUUAAUGUGAUGGAGCAUAAGUGCCUUGCAAAGAUCGAAGACAAGAUGAUGAGAGUUCUCGACUCAAAUGGAAGGUUGAUCUUGAAGGCUCCAAUGUCUCAGAAUAGAACCUUCAAGAUUGAGCUUAAUGUGAUGGAGCAUAAGUGCCUUGCAACAACA
rnacentral:lncRNA from 1 species